rnacentral:misc_RNA from 1 species
GAUGAAGAACGUAGCGAAAUGCGAUAAGUAAUGUGAAUUGCAGAAUUCAGUGAAUCAUCGAAUCUUUGAACGCACAUUGCGCCCCCUGGUAUUCCGGGGGGCAUGCCUGUCCGAGCGUCAUUACAACCCUCAAGCUCAGCUUGGUAUUGGGCCCCGCCGACCCGGCGGGCCCUAAAGUCAGUGGCGGUGCCGUCCGGCUCCGAGCGUAGUAAUUCUUCUCGCUCUGGAGGUCCGGUCGUGUGCUCGCCAGCAACCCCCAAUUUUUUUCAGGUUGACCUCGGAUCAGGUAGGGAUACCCGCUGAACUUAAGCAUAUCAAUAAGCGGAGG